rnacentral:tRNA from 1 species
UCCCUGGCAGUCCAGUGGUUAAGGCUUUGCACUUCCACUGCAGGGAGCCCAGGUUCAAUCCCUGGUCAGGGAA